UACAGAGGUCUCAAGCGUUGUUCGGAUUCAUUGGGCGUAAAGGGUGCGUAGGUGGCGCGUUAAGUCAGGUGUGAAAUUUCGGAGCUUAACUCCGAAACUGCAUUUGAUACUGGCGUGCUUGAGGACUGGAGAGGAGACUGGAAUUCAUGGUGUAGCAGUGAAAUGCGUAGAGAUCAUGAGGAAGACCAGUGGCGAAGGCGGGUCUCUGGACAGUUCCUGACGCUGAGGCACGAAAGCGUGGGGAGCAAACAGG
rnacentral:rRNA from 1 species